AUGCAGCGACGCCGCGUGGAGGAAGAAGGUCUUCGGAUUGUAAACUCCUGUUGUUGAGGAAGAUAAUGACGGUACUUAACAAGGAAGUGACGGCUAACUACGUGCCAGCAGCCGCGGUAAAACGUAGGUCACAAGCGUUGUCCGGAAUUACUGGGUGUAAAGGGAGCGCAGGCGGGAAGACAAGUUGGAAGUGAAAUCUAUGGGCUCAACCCAUAAACUGCUUUCAAAACUGUUUUUCUUGAGUAGUGCAGAGGUAGGCGGAAUUCCCGGUGUAGCGGUGGAAUGCGUAGAUAUCGGGAGGAACACCAGUGGCGAAGGCGGCCUACUGGGCACCAACUGACGCUGAGGCUCGAAAGUGUGGGUAGCAAACAGGAUUAGAUACCCUGGUAGUCCACACCGUAAACGAUGAUUACUAGGUGUUGGAGGAUUGACCCCUUCAGUGCCGCAGUUAACACAAUAAGUAAUCCACCUGGGGAGUACGACCGCAAGGUUGAACCUCAAAGGAAUUGACGGGGGCCCGCACAAGCAGUGGAGUAUGUGGUUUAAUUCGACGCAACGCGAAGAACCUUACCAAGUCUUGACAUCCUGCGACGAUGCUGGAAACAGUAUUUUCCUUCGGGACGCAGAGACAGGUGGUGCAUGGUUGUCGUCAGCUCGUGUCGUGAGAUGUUGGGUUAAGUCCCGCAACGAGCGCAACCCUUACUGUCAGUUACUACGCAAGAGGACUCUGGCAGGACUGCCGUUGACAAAACGGAGGAAGGUGGGGAUGACGUCAAAUCAUCAUGCCCUUUAUGACUUGGGCUACACACGUACUACAAUGGCGUUAAACAAAGAGAAGCAAGACCGCGAGGUGGAGCAAAACUCAGAAACAACGUCCCAGUUCGGACUGCAGGCUGCAACUCGCCUGCACGAAGUCGGAAUUGCUAGUAAUCGUGGAUCAGCAUGCCACGGUGAAUACGUUCCCGGGCCUUGCACA
rnacentral:rRNA from 1 species